rnacentral:rRNA from 1 species
UACGUAGGUGGCAAGCGUUGUCCGGAUUUACUGGGCGUAAAGAGCGCGCAGGCGGUCUUGUAAGUCGAGUGUGAAAGCCCCUGGCUCAACCAGGGAGGGUCAUUCGAUACUGCUUGACUCGAAGGCAGGAGAGGGAAGUGGAAUUCCGGGUGUAGUGGUGAAAUGCGUAGAUAUCCGGAGGAACACCAGUGGCGAAGGCGACUUUCUGGCCUGUUCUUGACGCUGAGGCGCGAAAGCUAGGGGAGCAAACGGGG